GGGCAGCAUGGUCUUAGCUUGCUAAGGCCGAUGGCGACCGGCGCACGGGUGAGUAACACGUAUCCAACCUGCCGUCUACUCUUGGACAGCCUUCUGAAAGGAAGAUUAAUACAAGAUGGCAUCAUGAGUCCGCAUGUUCACAUGAUUAAAGGUAUUCCGGUAGACGAUGGGGAUGCGUUCCAUUAGAUAGUAGGCGGGGUAACGGCCCACCUAGUCUUCGAUGGAUAGGGGUUCUGAGAGGAAGGUCCCCCACAUUGGAACUGAGACACGGUCCAAACUCCUACGGGAGGCAGCAGUGAGGAAUAUUGGUCAAUGGGCGAGAGCCUGAACCAGCCAAGUAGCGUGAAGGAUGACUGCCCUAUGGGUUGUAAACUUCUUUUAUAAAGGAAUAAAGUCGGGUAUGGAUACCCGUUUGCAUGUACUUUAUGAAUAAGGAUCGGCUAACUCCGUGCCAGCAGCCGCGGUAAUACGGAGGAUCCGAGCGUUAUCCGGAUUUAUUGGGUUUAAAGGGAGCGUAGAUGGAUGUUUAAGUCAGUUGUGAAAGUUUGCGGCUCAACCGUAAAAUUGCAGUUGAUACUGGAUAUCUUGAGUGCAGUUGAGGCAGGCGGAAUUCGUGGUGUAGCGGUGAAAUGCUUAGAUAUCACGAAGAACUCCGAUUGCGAAGGCAGCCUGCUAAGCUGCAACUGAC
rnacentral:rRNA from 1 species